CUUUCAUUGCGCCGCAGUCAUCUGACGGCGGAGGUGUUAUGCAAUAUGCCGCCGCGUGGGCGCAAGCGUAAACAGGAAGAUAAUUCUGAUCCUGGAAAAGACGAAGCGGCAGAUGUCAAGCAAGAAGUAUCUUCUGAUGGAGAUGGUGCAGUGAAAAAGAAGAAAGACUCGUCCAAGAGCUUGACUUUCAAGAUCGAGCAUUGUAAAUCCUGACAGGUGUAUAAAAGGAAUGCAAAUCUGCUGUCCUCAGAUCUGCUGGAGGUAUUCCCAACUGCUGAGGUCCUUAUAAAUGAAACAAAACCACGUUCAAAGAGUUUUGAAUUAACAGCCAUAAAGGAAGAUGGAGAAGAGUUACUGCUUUGGACUGGUAUAAAGAAGGGCCCCCCAAGAAAACUGAAGUUUCCAGUUAACAGUGAUCUCAUUGAGGAAGCAAAGAAACUGCUGUAGUGGGUUAUUAUCACUCCUAGAAAGGUUCCAGUUGAAGUUCAUUUUUGGAUAUUUGAGGCUUUGGGGUACAAGAAACUGAUUUAUGUUUUUUCUAUACAUUGUAACCAAAACAAUGACAGUUUAUGAAAAAAUGGAGGAUUUUACUCCAUUCAUAGACUUGAUGUAAAGUUGGACUCUGUACAUGAAUGAAAUUAAUAGUAGUGUGACCUAGCCAAAAAAUGAUAUAAAAAUAUACUUUUGUUUUACCUAGUAAGGUUCAAUUUACAUUUGUAUUUGUUGUUUUUUUUUAGAAGUUGUGAAUACAUAUACUACCUUAUAACUAAAUUGCUUUCAUUGAACAAUGAAAUUAAAAGGAUUAUUGGGUUUAUAGUAAAAAAAAGCUUGUUAAUUAGAGCUUUUCUGUUUUUGCAUUGCCAGUAAUUGUGGAAUAAAUUGAAUUAAAGAAAUUGUUGGUCUGUUUGCCCAAUA